AGUGAACGCUGGCGGUAGGCCUAACACAUGCAAGUCGAACGGCAGCACAGUAAGAGCUUGCUCUUACGGGUGGCGAGUGGCGGACGGGUGAGGAAUACAUCGGAAUCUACUUUUUCGUGGGGGAUAACGUAGGGAAACUUACGCUAAUACCGCAUACGACCUACGGGUGAAAGCAGGGGAUCUUCGGACCUUGCGCGAUUGAAUGAGCCGAUGUCGGAUUAGCUAGUUGGCGGGGUAAAGGCCCACCAAGGCGACGAUCCGUAGCUGGUCUGAGAGGAUGAUCAGCCACACUGGAACUGAGAGACGGUCCAGACUCCUACGGGAGGCAGCAGUGGGGAAUAUUGGACAAUGGGCGCAAGCCUGAUCCAGCCAUACCGCGUGGGUGAAGAAGGCCUUCGGGUGGUAAAGCCCUUUUGUUGGGAAAGAAAAGCAGCAGGUUAAUACCCCGCUGUUCUGACGGUACCCAAAGAAUAAGCACCGGCUAACUUCGU
rnacentral:rRNA from 1 species